rnacentral:rRNA from 1 species
UACGGGGGGAGCAAGCGUUGUUCGGAUUUACUGGGCGUAAAGGGCGCGUAGGCGGCCACGACAAGUCACUUGUGAAAUCUCCGGGCUUAACUCGGAGCGGUCAAGUGAUACUGUCAGGCUAGAGUGCAGAAGGGGCAACUGGAAUUCUCGGUGUAGCGGUGAAAUGCGUAGAUAUCGAGAGGAACACCUGCGGCGAAGGCGGGUUGCUGGGCUGACACUGACGCUGAGGCGCGAAAGCUAGGGGAGCGAACGGG